UACGGAGGAUUCAAGCGUUAUCCGGAUUUAUUGGGUUUAAAGGGUGCGUAGGCGGUUUGAUAAGUUAGAGGUGAAAUGUUAGGGCUUAACCCUGAAACUGCCUCUAAUACUGUUGAGCUAGAGAGUAGUUGCGGUAGGCGGAAUGUAUGGUGUAGCGGUGAAAUGCAUAGAUAUCACGCAGAACUCCGAUUGCGAAGGCAGCUUACCAGACUGCGACUGACGCUGAAGCACGAGAGCGUGGGUAGCGAACAGG
rnacentral:rRNA from 1 species